rnacentral:ribozyme from 1 species
UGCCCAGCAACUUCUAUUCCUACCUCCUCGUGGUACUAGCCGGGGUACGAGUAACCUUAGGGAAGAUCUGGUAACCAACCCCCACUUUGGUUUUAUGCUGACAGGGAAGG